ACCAGGAGAAGCACUAUCAGGAGAUCUUCCCAUAGGUCCAGUGGGUCCAACAGGUCCUCUUCUACCUAAAGGAAGUAACUAACUAGAAGAAUGCUGACAUGUCACGGGUAAGGUAUGUUCUCACUUGUACACUGAAUAUACCAGGGAUUAGGCUAAUGAAAAUGCCUUCUCU